ensembl:lncRNA
AUCGCACCAAACGAUUCAUUCACAAAUUCGAAUGAUCCGAUUGCAGCUGUUCUAGAGUCAACAACUCACUGAUUCAAUUGAACCGUUUAGUGCGAGUCUCCAGUGAACUCAAUUCACAAGUAAGAACCGGGAGAUCUUGUGAUCGCGCGCGCGACUGAUGCUGCUAAAAGGUUGUGGAUCCGUUCAUCGUCACUACAUGCUAACCUUGCAGCCCACGCCGCCCAUCUGUCGAAAGGGAACACAGCGUGGCUGCUGCAACCUCUCAUUUGAAUUAUUCAGACUUGUAAGCAACUUUGUGCUCCCUGGGAAGGUGUGGGCUGGAGAAAAAUGGCUGGACGUCAUCUGAGGUCAGGUGUGCAAAUGGCUUCAUCUGAGGAGUCCUGCUGCCUAACGGGAAGAAAGAUCAGUUCAAGAGAAAGGUUUUUUGAAGCAGUUCGUUGGGACGAAUAGCCUACUGCAAAAUAUGCUUGUAAAGAAUAAAAUUAUGCUUAAGUUACA